GACAGCAGCCUGGGGGCCGAGCUCCUGGGUCCUGCUCCCAGAGGAGCCUGCUUAUGGGGCCAUGGUAAGCAGAUCAGUCUUGCAUGGGGAGGAUGUUGACCCCGGGGCAGCAGAAGGCUGAGGAAGACUGUGAGCCGUGGUCAAGGAGAGAAGGGAAAGGCCAGCAUGAGGAACUCUUGCCCAAGCUCAACGGGUCCAAUCCAGGAUCCCACAUUUAGCAAGUUUGUUUUUAGAAAAUAAACUGUGGCUGUGGUAGGCA
rnacentral:lncRNA from 1 species